rnacentral:tRNA from 1 species
UGUCAGGGAUGGGAAUCGAACCCACAGUGUUCCGCUUACCGGGCAGAUGCCAUGUCCACUAGGCUACCAAGAG